AAACAUGUCUUUUUGAAAUUAAUUUAAAGUCUAAUYUGCUCAAUGAAUUUAUUUAAAUAGCUGCAGUAUUCUGACUGUGCAAAGGUAGCAUAAUCAAUAGUUUUUUAAUUAAAAGCUGGAAUGAAUGAUUUUAUGAAAUAGUAACUGUCUCGAAAUAAUUAAUUUUAGAAUUUUUUUUUUAGUCAAAAUACUAAAUUGAAUUUAAAAGACGAGAAGACCCUAUAGAAUUUUAUAAAAUAGUAUUUUUAAUAUUUAAUUUAAAAGUAUUAUAUUAUUUGAUUGGGGAAAUUAUUAAAUUAAAUAAAUUUUAAUUAUUUUUAAACUAAAAUUAUUGAUUAAUUGAUCUUAAAUUUAUUGAAUAAAGAAUAAAUUACCUUAGGGAUAACAGCGUAAUUUUUUUAGAGAGUUCUUAUUAAUAAAAAAGUUUGCGACCUCGAUGUUGAAUUAAAAUAAAAUUUUAAUGAAGGAGUUAAAAAUUUUUGGUCUGUUCGACCAUUAAAAUUUUACGUGAUCUG
rnacentral:rRNA from 1 species